GGCGCUGCGCAGGUGGCCGCAGGGGCGGGGGGCUCGGCCCUGAGGCCAGCGUGCAGCCCGGAACGCGGAGGAGGGGGAUGCGCAACCACUGAAUUAAUUGCACACGUUAAGGGAGAACGCUGUGAUUGUGACUCAGACUGUUUUGAAAAAGAAACGUGCUCUCAAAUGGCUGAGUUGGAAAGAAAGGAAGUACUUCUUAGGGCCUGAAACUUGGCUUAUCCGGCAGGCUCAAGUUGAGGAAUUCCCAUCACGGGAAAAUGCACUCGGCUCGGUCCUGAAGUGUGACCACAGAAUCCAGGUUGGAGACAGGAUUCACCAGAGUCAAAGGAGAGCUUUUUUCCAAUUUCACGCCUGCUUUACAUUCAAGAGGGAAAUUUUGAGGCUUCCGGACCUGCAAUGGGAGCGAGCAAACUCCUGGUCUGCAGAGUGGCAGGACCUAACCUCAGUGGCUGUUCCCUGCGGGCCCCU
rnacentral:lncRNA from 1 species